CCGUCUUCCAUAUAUCUACUGACUUCAUAUAAAUGAAAGUGUACUGAGGACUCACUAAUCUGCACUACUAGUAACAAAGUAAUCCGACAAUCAGACUGGACCCGGUCAUGUUAGAAGAUACCAAAGAUAGGGGAUGAACAUACAAUCGAUUCUGCAUCGAUGCAUAACUUCGCUCGGAACGCGGCAAGAAUUAACAAUGGAAGAAAAUACUACAGACGUGUUUAUUAACAAUAAAGUUAUUUUUGUUUUUAUGAAAUAGCGAUUGAAUAAAAAUAUUAGGUAUAUGAGUUUUAUUUAGAGAUGAAAUAAGUCAG
rnacentral:lncRNA from 1 species